rnacentral:sRNA from 1 species
GAAGAGUUAUUUAAUGCAACAUCAAGUACAAGUUAAACCAUCUGAUACUUCUACGUUUUCGUGCUGUAUCUAACUGUUUCCCUUAUAUUUAUCGUCACAUUAAUAAUUCAAUUGUUACUGAUCGCUGUUGAUAGCGAUUUAAAUGAAUUUACAUAAGGGACAACACAUGUCUAAGUCUACUGGUAUCGUUAAGUGGUUUAACGAAGAAAAAGGUUUCGGUUUCAUCACUCAAGAGAACGGCGGUGCAGACGUAUUCGUACACUUCCGCGCAAUCGCUUCUGAAGGUUUCAAGACUCUUUCUGAAGGUCAGAAAGUUUCUUUUGACGUAGAGCAAGGCCAGAAAGGUCCUCAAGCUGCAAACGUAGUUACUCUAUAAGUCAUUGAACUUAUUUUAAGAAAAUGCUGGCCUAGGCCAGCAUUUUUUG